GAAGGCCGAGCCGCGGGGCAGCGCCGGGGAGCGAGUCCGCAGGGGCGGCGGCAGAACUUUGUGCGUGUGAGUGUGAGCGUGUGUGUGCGCGCGCGGUGUGUGUGCACGUGAGUGUGUGUGAGUGUGAGCGCGUGUGCGCGCGCGCGGUGAGUGUGUGAGUGUGAGCGUGUGUGUGUGCGCGUGAGUGUGAGCGUGUGUGUGCACGUGAGUGUGAGCGUGUGAGUGUGUGUGAGUGUGAUUGUGAGCGCGAGGGUGCGCGCGCGGGCCGGGCACGGGGCAGCGACUGCAGGACAGCACCGGCCGGCAGAGUGUCGCGCCCUCUGGCAGCCGGUUGGCGCUUGCCGAGGUGGGAGCGAAAUGAAUGCGGGAGGAGUGGGCGCACGCCUCUCCGCGGGAGGCUGAGCGGGUGGAGGAGCUUUGGAAACCCUGACCAGGUUAGAGACGCCGGAGCUGUCCCUGCGCACCCAGACAAACGCAGCCCCCGGGGCGGUCGCUGAAUUCCGGCCGGAGUCCGACAUCCGCGCCCUCUGGCCUUGGCCUCCUGGCGCCUACCCUGUUCCGAGGGGCCCUCCUCCAUCGCUCCGGUAGGGGCUCCUGGUUCCCUGAUUUCCUCAGCCCUCUGUCCAAUCAGGGCUUCAGCUAAAUCGCCCAAACUCUGCUCCCGGCCAAGUCCUCUCUGGGUUCGCUUCUCCGGCUACCCCCUAGGUUUAGCUAGGAUGCCGGUAGCCUCCUCCAACUUCAGAAGACUUGUUGAGUCUCCUCUUAGGUGGUAUUUUUUAAACUGUGGGUCGUGACACACUAAGAGAACAGAGAAUAAAUGCAAUGAAUGACAACCAGCUUUUUAAAAGAAUGAAAUGGAAUCCGGUAGAACUAUUAGAGUCCACUGAUGACUCUUACUAAGUAAGAGCAGCCAUUGUUUCAUAAACCUUUGGUUUCACUAUGAGGUAGAUUGUAUUUCCUACUGUGGAUCAUGGGUCCAGAAACAGUAUCGUUUCAGGGUGUGAAAUAAUGAUCUCUAACACUGUGUGAUUUUCUUAAAACCUAUCCCACUGUUUUCUCACUACUUCUUAUCCUUCCUGGUGUGCAUAACCCCCUCCCCACCCUCUCUUUCCCCUGUAAAAAGACAAGCCCUUUCACAGGCUGUUUGGUUUGGUUGGUGGCACAUCAUCACCCCUUCAUCUCAGGAGGAUCCUGGACUUUGCAGUCUUUCCUGUGGCUUCUCUCAGCCUAAUGCCUUUCACACUUGCAGAAUCCUCGACCAGGACUACUAAACAGGACCUCAGAGGUCAUCUGGGCCAGCCUGCCCUUUUAGAGUUGGAGAAAUGAGGCCCAGAGAAGUGAAGUGUGUUGCUCAAUGUCACCUGGUGCUGACUCUUAGGAUCAGGUCUCUUGGCGUUAGUGGUUCACACUUGUCAUGCAUCCCUUUCUAUCCUCCUUGCAAUCCUUAACCAGCCUCCCUAGCUUUAGUCUUGCCCCAGUUCACCCUGAAUACUGCCAAGUUCAUAAGAUGUGGGUCUGACCACACCCCUGCUUCAUGUCUUUGAAGGACUCAACCUCUGUAGGUGAGGCUGAGUUUCUUAGCUCCUUGGCUUUUAAUCAAGGCAGGCAAGUCCUGACUUAGCUUUGCAAGGACAUGAGUUCAGCAAAUCACCGCCUCUCUAGCCAGACUGGUUUACUCAUAGCCCUCUGCCAGCCUUGUCCAUCUGUGCCUCUGUGCUUUUGCCCAAGCUAUUGCUUUCCCACCAGGGGUGCUUCCUCAGUCUUCUCUCUUUAACCAGUUUCUGUCUGUGCCUGGCUCUUUUCCAUUCCCUUCAUAAGACAGCCUGAGAUAGUGUGAGAGUAAAACAGAUUGAGAUUGAAAUCCCAGCUCUUCCACUUGGCUGUGUGAACUUGGUCAAAUCACUUAACCGCUCUGAGCCUCAAGUUCUGCUUUAUUUUAUUUUAUUUUUUGAGACAGAGUCUCACUCUGUUACCCCAGGUAGAAUGCAGUAACAUCUUCCUAGCUCACUGCAACCUCAAACUCCCAAGCUCAAGUGAUCCUCCUGCCUCAGCCUCCUAAGCAGCUGGGACUACAAGCAAGUACCACCAAGCCUGGCUAACUUUUCUAUUUUUAGUAGAGACAGAGUCUUGCUCUUCCUCUGGUGGUGUCAAACUCCUGAGCUCAGGCAACCCUCCCAUCUCAGCCUUCCAGAGUGUUGGGAUUACAGGCAUGAGGCACUGUUCCUGGCCUUGUUUCUUGAUUUUAAUGAGAAUAAUAAUAGUAAUUGUUAUGUUCUCCCCUUGUGCUUAUAAGUGUCGUAGGCUUUAUCAUAUGAGUAUGUAACUGCCCAUUGUCUCUGUUCCUUUUCAGCACUGGCCAAAUAGAACUUUCUGCAAUGAUGUCACAGCAGCCACGUGUGACUCUUAAGCACAUGAAAAGUGGCUAGUGUGACGAGGAACUGAAUUUUUAGUUUUAAUUAAUUUUACUUAUAAUAGCCGUGUGUGGCUGGCUAGCAGCUACCCUUAUCGGACAGUGCACUUCUAGCCUACAAGCUCAAUGAGGGCAGAAACCACACAUUGUAUCCUGGCUAAGUAGACAUUGCCUGGCACAUGGUAAGUACUGCUCAGAUGUUUCCAGAAUGGACAACAGCAGCCAUUUACCACACACCCCCCGUGUCAAGCACAACAAGAACUCAGUAAAAGUAACUUCAUACAGUCCUCACCACAGCCCCUGAGAAAGGCUUUGUACAGAGGGCUGGCACAUAGAAGGGAAUGAAUAAAAGUGGUUAUUAGUAUUCUGGACACCUCCCUGUAACCAGCCCCCCAGUUUUUACCUCUUCUUCCCCUAGAUGUACAGAACAUUUCCUGCCUGUUGGGCACUCCGUGUUGUCCGUGGCACACCCCCACCCUAGAUGGCGGACUCUUGACUUCUGCAUAGGUGCCCAGUCCCCACAGUUGCUGACUGGACUGUCAGCUUCUGGAAGGAAGCUCAUGGCAUACUUGUACCUCAGCUCAAUGCUGUUCAGUGUUUAGUGUUUGCUUCUAACCUCGCCCCACCUCCUGUCUAGCUGUGAGUGACCCUAGGCAGUCUCACUCUCUGGAAUACUCUUCCCUAAAAGGUGAAUUCCCGCUUGUGUAAACUGGAAACAUUGAGGGUGGUCUCCUUCUGAUAAGAUUGGAACCAUCUUGGGCAGGGAAAUAGAGUCCCAUGAGGAGGGAACACGAUGAAGCCAUCCAGAUAUAGAUCCAAAGCUGUACUUGUGGGAUGCAAGACCUCAGCAAAACAUUCAGACGGAGUAUACGGAUUGUCUCCUUUUCCUUUGGGGACUGCAAUCACGUCGGGGCAAGGUAUAAACCUAACAGCAAAACACCACUGAAGCAGAAGGGGGGAGAACAUCUGAGAUGGAGCCCGGAGGAGCACCAGCGCUCCAAGGAUGGGAAGAGGAAGAUAACUCCCCAGGGAGGAGCGGGCAGGGAAGUGGGAGGACAGCAGAGUCCUCAACACCCCAGGAGUGGUCAGCAAGGCCAGGCAGUACUGAGAAGUCACACGAGGUUGAACUUGGACAAACUAGACAGACAUGGUGCAGAGAGAAGCUUGUGGCUGGUGGAAGGCAGAGGGGUAGGCUAAGGAGUGCUCUUUUUAAAAAGCCUAUGGUUAAGACUCUCUGCCCAGAGUGCCCUGAACUCUACAGCCUCUCCAUCCGUGAAGACCCAGUGCACCUGCAGUUGCCUUCAAGAAGCCAUUCCUGUGCCCCUCCCUCACAUCUCCAGAAGUCAUCUUCACUUGUUUGCAAAGCACGGUUUAGGCCUAUUUUUACUGUACACAUUUUUUUUUCUGUCUAGUAUUAAAGGUUCCUGUUUUGUUUUUUAAAUGUUUUACCUAUAGAAAGGUAUGGAAGCUGCAGAACAAAGGCUGAACAUCGGAAGUUUGGGUUGAAAUAGGGAAAUUGUUAAUUUCUCUGCACCUCACUUUUCUUACCUGAAGAGUGGGAUAACAAUGUCGACCUCACUAGCAGAAGUUAUGAGUGUGAGAGAAGAGGAAGGCAGAAGACAUGAGGGUGCUCAGGCUACAGAAGCACUGCAGGGCUGGAUAGGGAGGAGGCACUUAAUAAAUGCAUACUGAAUCCAUGGGAAAGGGUGCAUUUCUAAACAGUCUUUGAAGGCUCGUGGGAAUAUAAAAAUUAAGUGAUAGAAUGCACAGAGCAAUUCUUUUUUUUUUUUUGACAGUCUUUCUGUCACUUGGCUAGAGCGCUGUGACGUGAUCAUAGUUGACUGCAACCUCAGGCUCCUGGGCUCCAGUGAUCCUCCUGUCUCAGGCUCCUGAGACAGGCAUGUACCACAAUGCUCAGCUAUUUUUUUCUUCUAUUUUUGGUAGAGACAGAGGCUCACUCUUACUCAGGCUGGUCUCGAACUCCUGAGCUCAAGUGAUCCUCCUUUCUUGGCCUCCCAGAGUACUAGGAUUACAGGUGUGAGCCACCACACCUGGCCUGGUGGGGUUUUAAAAAUCAAUUUUAGCUAAUGUUCACAGACCUUUUGUUUCAAUAGCUUCACAGUUUAGUUUUAUUUUUAAGACCAGAGUUCUUUUUUCAUGGAAUCCUUAAGCUUUUUUCAUGGAAUCCUUUUCACUCCAGACACAUGUUCUUGGCUAUUACCCAGCUUGGCACCUUCCUCUGAUUUUGUUUAGGCAUCAAUCCACCUGCCCCAGGGGGUGAAUCAUGAUUGGUCUAUGUCAACUAUGGCAAACCAAUCAUGUUGUUAAUUGUGGUCAUGUGACCCAGUUCUAGCCAAUGAGAGCUAAAUUGAAAGUUGGGGGCUUCUGGGAAAAUGCCUCCUUUCUGAUAAAAGAGUGUUCCACGGGAAGAGACAGGCCAUCCCCCUUCAUAGUCCUGCUACUCCUGCCUUAUAGCAGGAUUGGCUGCUUUGAGUUAUUGGGGAGGGGAGUGCUCAGAGUGAUGUCUUGGAGGUGAGGAGGUGGACUAACCCUGGAACCGUCACUGCCAGCCUUAUUAGUAAAAGGAGUGUUGUCUUUACGAAGAUGCCUUUAGUAGGCAUCCCGUUACUUGCAGUGAACGGCAUCUUAAUUACUAGUAGGAAAAAUUUAGUUUUGUGAUUUCCUGUAUACUUGGACAGUCCGCAUAUACAUAUCUUUUAAAAAUAUUUCAAGAGGCUCAAAGUGUAAAAUUUCUCAGCAAAACGAUCUUUUGUCAUAGAAUUCUGAAGAUUGUGUGUGUGUGAGAUGCAUUUGAACUUUUUAAGAAUUUCCGUUGGAAUGUGGCAGGAUGUUCAGUGCACAUUCCAUUUGCCCUGGGUGAUACACUCGGCAUUCAGAAGCUGCUGAUUUGCUUAUCUUUUCUUUGGGAGAAAUAUACAGCCUGGCUGAUUCCAGCUAGUUUGUCUGGUCGAGUUGGAUGUUUAAAUAGAAGGCAGAACUACCGUAACAAGUAAGGGUUUCUUUUUCCUUUUUCUUUUAGUAUUAUUGAAUUUUCUUGUGUUCUUUUGACAUUAUUUCAUCAAUUCCAAACUUUGAAUGUUAAAUCCUAUGUCACUGAGAAGGGAAGGUAGUGAAUGGUAGGGAAUGCUGGUGAUUAGCAAGAUGGCAUCCUGGGUGGCUGAGUCUGAGGGCUGGGCAAAGCCAGGGCAGUGACAGGAUGGCCAAAGAGAGCCUGUAUUAGCAGGUUGGGUCCAAGAGAGGGUUAGGCAUGAGACCUGCCCUGCCCACCCUAUUUCAUAAUGCAGCUUGUCCUGUCACCCCCACUGUCUCUCCCGCACCCCAUUACCCCAUUUUCCCUUAUCUGGUGUUCUUAACCUUUACCCACCCAUGGACUCCUUUGGCCUUUGGUGGAGUAUGGAGACUGCUUCCCAGAAAAAAAUGUUUUUAAAUGCAUUAAAUAAGACACAUAAGGCUACAAAAGAAACUAAUUAUCCUGAGCUAUAUUUCUUAUUGAUACAUUCAGUAACAAGAUCUAACCACAGGCCCAAUAGUUACAAAGUAGUGAAGAGUGUAAACAAUACUUUAAGAUACCUGCAACAACCCUCAGUAUGGGAUACAAUAGCUGCGAUUUCGAUUGGUAACAAAGUCACGGGUACUGCUAUUGCUGCUGUGAUUGGUUGCUUACUGUCAGAUUUGAAGGUUUAAGAUUAAAGGUGUCAUUUCCCCCUAGUCCCCAUCCCAUUCAAGUUCACAGAUCACCUGUGAACUUGUAUCUCUGGACCCCUUGUGAGUCCGGCACUCUGAGAUAAGAAUCCUUGCCCUUAUCCUUAUUCUACAACAUCUACAUGUAUUUGCAGAGCAUUUUUCAUCUUCUAACAUCAUAUAUUGUAUUUACUCGUUUUUCAAGUUCACUUUUUUAGUUGUCUGAUUCUUCCUACUAGAAUUAAGUUCCACAAAGUCUUGUCUCUUUUGUUUACUGAUGUAUUCCCAGUGUCUAGAAUGGUGCCUGGCACUUACUAGAAGCUCAGUAAAUACCCCUCGUACAGAUAAGGCCAGAAUGUACGAGCAUCUGCAUCUCGGCAGAGGGGCAAGAUGUUCUCUUUACCUUCACGCUUCCCUUUCUUUCCUCUUCCUUCUCUGACUUCAAUCUUCUUUCUUUUACCUUGACAAUCUCUCCUUUUCUUUCUCUUUCAGUAUCUUCUCCUCAUUUCCCUCAUUUCCCAUUCAAGACAUUCCUGCAACAAGUAUUUACUGAGAAUACAGUUGUGAGAAGACAGACCCAGAGCUUGGGCGACUGGUGCUCAUCACCACUGGGCGGUUGCUUAAGGACGGGACCCUUGGAGACAGGCCCACUUGGAUUCAACAUCUGCCUCUACAUCCUACUUGCUGUCUGACCAUGAGCAAAUUUGUAACCUUUCUGUGACUUAGUUGGUUUUUCUUUUCAUCAUUUAUUCAGCAGUCCUUAAUGGGUUUACUGUGUGCUUAGCAGUGUUCUCAAUUAUGGUAUGGUGUGAUCAAUGCUGUGAUGACAAGGGUAACUGAGAGGGUUACCUGAGCCCCAGGAAAUUCAAUCUUAGGAUACUGUGUGGUCAGGAAGGACAGCCCAUUAGUCCAGUGUAGUAUAAUUUCAAAUGAAUUCUGUUAGUUUUUUGCAUUUCCAAAACAACACCACAGGGGAUCUACAUUCCUAUUACAAGACAAGAUGAUUUCACCUCCUUUGAUUCUAUCCCUGGAUACCCCCGCACUUCAUGGUGUGGAUUGACUUAAACUCUCACCUUCCUUUGGGGUUUAAAGAAGUGGGCAGACAGCUGGCAGCCCAGCUCAACCUUACAGAGAACCAGGUGAGGGUCUGGUUCCAGAAUUGCAGGGUCAAGUACCAGAAACAACAAAAGCUGAGACUGCUGGCUGCAUCUGCUGAGGCUGCCUCCCUGGACGAGCCCUCCAGUGGCUCCAAUGCCAGCAUCCAGAGUGACGACUUUUGAGUCAGGAGUGGACAGCUGAGGAUCGGGACAGAGGCCUCACCCAUAGUGUGGACUAGUUCUUCCUGCGGGUACCCACUGGACCUCUCUGCCCCACAUCUCAAUGAAGGGUUAGCCUUCUCAACCAGAGGAAUCUAAACUGUCAAAGCAAGGACACUCUAUUCUAUACUGGGUCCUGUAUAAUGGAAUAAUGUUAUGGUCAGAGCAAACUUUAGCCUUCAGCUAUGUCCUUGGACAAGUUUCUAAACUUCUGAGGCUUUUUUCUUCAUCUUUAUGAUGGGUAUAAAGAUGAUAACUUUAUUAUAAAGAUAGUCUUCUACCCCCCCCCACAAAAAAUGAAAUAAAAUAAAAAAGAAGUGGGCAGAACAGAAAUUUCAGAGCUGAUGAUUUUUGGCUUCUCUUUGCUACCCAGUGGAGAAGCAAGGGCUGUGGCCACUGCCUGACUGCUAAUUCUGUCCAGACACUGAAGCACAUGGGAAAGGGGGAAGCCGUGUGAAAUCCAGACCCUGAAAGACUGGGAGGUCAGCAAAGUGUUCCUGGCAGGACAAAGGUCUGAAGAAUGAGAGAUUAUGGCCCUUAACUGAGGGAGACUCAGUCUGCCUGGAGUGUGAGGGGUGAGGCAGAGGCUGGGGCGGAGGGAGGUCAGUAGGGCAAACUUGUCAGAGAGUUGGGAUGUUAAGAUUUUCCCAAAGCUCAUGAGAAGUUAGGGAUUUUUGAUGGGAUACAGGGUUUUGUUUUGUUUUAUUUUUUAGUCGUUGUUUGUUUUUUCUUUGAGACAGGGUCUCACUUUGUUGUCCAGGCCAGUGCGCAAUGGUGUGAUCAGGGCUCACUGUAGCCUCAAACUCCUGGGCUCAAGUGAUCUUCCUGAUUCAGCUUCCAAGUAGCUGAGCCUACAGGUGUGUGCUGCCACACCUGACUAAUUUUUGUAUUUUUUUUUUUGUUGACAUGGGGUCUUGGACUAUGUUGCUGAGGCUGGUCUUGAACCCCAGUCUCGAGUGAUCCUCCCACCUUGGCCUCCCAAAAUGGUAGGAUUACAGAUGUGAGCCACCAUGCUUGGCCCAGAUACAGAUUUUUAAGAGCCCUUACUGCUGCAGAGAGAGGCACAGAGAGUAGGGUCAGGGAGGCCUGGGCCUCAGUAGUGGCAAUAAUUAACAGUAAUGACUGGUUUCAAAAGACAUUCCAGACUUGGAAUCUAUAAGACUUAAUGACUCACAGUGUGUGUGGGGGGGGGUCAAAGGAAGUGUUAUGGGUUUAAUUGUGUCUCCCCUCCCAGCACCAGCCCCCCACAAAAGAUGCUGAAGUUCUAACUCCUAGCUCAUUGCAAAGGUAAUUAAUUAAAGGCCAAGUUAAUUUAAGAUGAAGUCAUAUUGAAGUAAGGGGAGCCCCAGUUCACUGUGGCUGGUGUCCUCAUCAGAAGAUGGCCAGCUAAGGGCAGAGACACAGAGAGAAUGCUACAUGAAGACCAAGGUUUGGGGGUGUUGUGUCUACAAGCCAAGGGUGCCAGGAAUUACCAGCACAUCAUCAGAAGCAAGAAACAGGUGAACAAGGAUUCCCUGCUGAUCUCAGAGUGGGCACGGCUCUGCUAACACCUUGAUUUUGGACUUGUAGCCUCCAGACGUUUCGGAGAAUAAAUUUCUGUUGGUUGAGCAAUCCAGUUUGUGGUACUUUUUUUGGCAGCCCUAGGAACCUGGCACAGUGGAGAGUUUAGCCCCAACAGCAUAUCAAGUAUCUGGGCUACUCGGAACUUUUAUUAUGGUAAGUAUUACAGAGCAAGAAGG